CUCCAACCGACCGACUUUAAGCCUCUCAGCCUCUCGGCGCUCGUUUACCAAGCAUUAAACUCUACCAAGUGAAGAGUUUUACCUCUUGGUUAUUGAUGUACCAGGACAGUAUUGGUGUUGGAUCUGCCACGUCCGACAUGCAAUUGGCGUUGAUCACAUCGCCUUCGGUGUAGGGACCAUUGACACCCUCAAUGUGCGGCGUCUCCUUGGGUAACGCUGCGAGGAGAGAAAGACAAGGAAACGGGGAAAUGUUAAACGAUGGAGAACAAAAGCACAGACCUGGACCUGCGGCUGUAUGAAAAUGAAUUUCUAAUUACUCGCCUGCCACUGUAACGACGUGCGUUUCGGAAGCCAAUCUAAAUGUCGGUGCUUCGCUGGAGAUCUCGCAGCGGAAGGCGCCGCCGCUGUGUUC